rnacentral:rRNA from 1 species
UACGUAGGGGGCAAGCGUUGUCCGGAAUCAUUGGGCGUAAAGCGCGCGUAGGCGGCUAGAUCAGUCUGCUGUAAAAGUCAAAGGCUCAACCUUUGAAAGCCGGUGGAUACUGUCUAGCUAGAGUCCGGAAGAGGCGAGUGGAAUUCCUGGUGUAGCGGUGAAAUGCGCAGAUAUCAGGAGGAACACCGGUGGCGAAGGCGGGUCUCUGGGCCGAUAUUGACGCUGAGGAGCGAAAGCGUGGGGAGCGAACAGG